rnacentral:lncRNA from 1 species
UUAUUAAAAAAAUGAUAUCUGCAACUAUAGCCCAAUCUCCAAAAACUCCUGAUCCUUUCAGGCAUUUCCUUUUCUUGUGAAAGAUUUUUACAGAGGGUAUAUUAAUUUACAAGAUCCUAUCCAUGCCCUGCUACAGUUUGAAUGUUUUUUCCAUCCCUUUUUAACCUAGGAAUUAGAAGAAAGUGCAGACGAUGCUUGCUUAACCCUGCAUUUAGUGCCAAGCAAUGAUGUGCUCCCUAUGAAACCAUUUCUGACCCUCUGCUUGCAGUGGGACUGCAGUUAAAAGCUAGGGCUAGGAUUUGGAGGAUGUGUAGGCAAACGGAAGGAGAGCCGGGGGAAGAAAAACCGAAAUGGAUUCAUUCUCUGUCCUGGAUGGAGGAGGAGAAGAGAAGAGAAGAGAAGGGGAUGUGAAAGCUUCCUUCAACUGCCUGUCCGGUGAAAAGUGAUCAAACCCCCGGGGCUGAAGAGAACUCAAGAGUCCACGCGGACUUUCGCUUUAUCCUGCCAAUCAAACUGCUUACUAGACAACACCCUGAUCUGGCAUGGACAUCCAAGAGGAAGAGGAAAACUCUAAUCCUGAGCCAAGUGUGUGUUUUUGGGGAGUCCCCCUCCCCCCUUCCACACCCCUCCCUAGGAAGAAACAACAACAACAAAAAGUCCAGCUUGGGACUUUGUGAGGCUGCGGUUGCUUCUCGCUUCUCUGCCGAAGACUUGU